ACUACAAAAAAAUAAGUAGUCAAAAAUAAUAUCGAAAGCCUAUUUUUCGAAAUAUCUUUUGAACUCGACAAAACCCUUAAAACUAAAUCUCUGAACUCGACAAAACCCUUAAAGCUAAAUCUCUAGUAGUAAUGAGCUUAUUUAGAGGGAAAAUACAAUCUGUGUGAGUACGUGCUUUCGUAAGUGUUAGUGCUUUAUUAAGAGGGAAAAUACAAUUUGUGUGAGUGAGUGCGUUUGUAAGUGUUUAUAAGAAUUUAUUUUUAAAAGAUAUGCUCAAGGAAAUGUUUCAUAUAUAUACAUAGAUAGCAAUGCUAAACACCAAGAUGACAAGAGACUCAACAAAAAAUAUUUAGUAUCAAAUGAAUAACCUAUCAAUGAAACUUACAAAACAUCUAAAUAAAAAUUUCAUCAGUAGUUUUGUUUUGAGAAAGGAUGAAAGGGUGUGUAUGUGUUGUCACUUUGUUUGCAUGAGUUGAUGAGCGGGAAAACGGCUUAUUCAUGUCCGCACUACGAAGCCAUAAAAAAUACAUACCCAAACUAUAUUAACGUGCCAAAACAAUCCUAAACUAAAUAAAAAUUUGAAUUACAUACCUAGAAUCUCUGCUAGUAUCGCCUCUGGGAGUUGUAUGGUGCUUGUUAAGGUUUCCAUUGAACAUCUACGAUUAGGUUUUACGGUUUUGGGAUUAAAUGAUUUUUCUAUUUAUUAAAGCGUAUAUAUAUUAGAAAUAAAGAAAAAUAUUGUUUUGUACACAUAGUCACAUACCCCAAUCAUACAAAUAUUGUUCUUAUAAUAGACCCUUUUGGACGA